ACACGCCUGGGAUGUACGCGGGCUUUUAUUAUGUCUAACCUACAUUUUUUAUAGGGAGCUUGAUUUGAUUCUGAUGGAUGUGCGCCUCGGCGGAGACUGAAGUCAGACUUAGAGCACCCACCUGCUAGUCGCAGGUUUUAGGCAUGAAAAGCGUACGGCAUUUCGGACCCCUG
rnacentral:other from 1 species